CUAGGUUUCAUAUAAUUGUCUGCCUUUUCCUUGGAUGAGGUCCAUGUCUGCUAAAUACCUGGGAACCUCUAGGAUUAUUCUGCAUUGGCUCAUGUUGUGGGAGGUCAGGUGGCAUAGUAGAUAGAGUUCCAGACUUGGAAUUAUGAGGACCUGAGUUCAAAUCUGAACUUGGAUAUUUCCUAGCUAUGUGAACUUGGGGCUUGUUAAAGGUGUACUAAAGGACCCAAUGUUCAACUCACGUGGCCUCUUCCAAGAGGGGAAGUCCUCUAUGGAACUAAUCUCUCCAGAAGCCAGAAAAGGAAGGCCAGUUACUCAUUCACCCAAGAUGGAAUCCAAAGGAGAAGAUCCAAGCCAAGGAAAAAUCCCAAAAGCCAAGGUCAUUUCCAAGAGGCAGGUCACCAGCUGAAGCUCCAAGUUGAAGAUUCAAGACCCCAAUAACUGACAAAUGGUCAAGGGAUAUGACGAGGCAGUUUUCAGAUGAAGAAAUCAAAACUAUCAACAAUCAUAUUAAAAAAGUAUUCUAAAUCCCUCCUAAUUAGAGAAAUCCUAAUCAAAACAACUCUUAGGUCUCACCUUAUGCCUAGGGGACUGGCUAACAUGACAGCAAAGGAAAGUAAUAAAUGUUGGAGGGAAUGUGACAAAGUUGGGACACUAAUGCAUUGCUGGUGGAGUUGUAAAUUGAUCCAACCAUUCUGGAAGUCUAUUUGGAAUUAUGCCCAAAGGGCUUUAAAAGAAUGCCUUCCCUUUGAUUCAGCAAUACCACCUCUAGAUUUAUAUCCAAAAGAGAUUUUUUUUAAAAAGGGAAAUGAUCUAUUGGUACAAAAAAUGUCUAUAGCUGCACUUUUUAUGGUGGCAAAAAAUUGGAAAAUGAAGGGAUGGCCCCUCGACUGUGGAAUAGUUAAACAAAUUGUGGUAUUUGAUAGUGAUGAAAUACAACUGUACUAUAAGGAAUGAUGAAUUGAUUGGUUUCUGUAAGAACUGGAAAGAUCUACAUGAACUAAUGUGUAGUGAAAUAAGCAGAACUAAAAGGACAUUAUACAUAGUAACUGAAACAGUGUGGGACAAUCAAAUGUAAUUGACUGCUACUAAUAGCAAUUCAAUGAUCCAGGGCAAUUCUGAGAGACUUAUGAAAAAGAAUGCCAUGCACAUCUAGAGAAAGAACUGUGGGAGUAGAAAUCCAGAAGAAAACAUAUCAUUUAUCACUUGUUUAUAUGGGUAUAUGCUUUGGGGUUUUGAUUUUAAAAUAUUACUCUGUUACAAAAAUGAAUAAUAAGGAAAUAGGUUUGGAGUGAUAAUAUAUGUAUAACUCAGUGGAAUUGCUUGUCAACUCCAUGAGGGGAGAGAGAAAAGGGGAGUGAGACAACAUGAAUCAUGUAACCACAGAGAAUUUUUUAAAUAAAAUUUUAAAAAGAGAGAAAUUUUGCAACAUAAUAUCCCAAGAGGCAAAAGAUAGAGGCUUAUAACAAAAAAAUGAUUUGCCUUGGAAAACCUUGUAUACUUCUUUGGUGGUUGAGUUUGGUGGAGAGAAUAGACCUUUAAUAAAAUAAAGGUAUAAAAAAAUUUAUAAAAGUAUUACUGAUGCAAAGACUAGAGUUGAAUAGAAACUUUGAAACAUAAGCAAUAAACUUCUAGGUAAUGUGAAUAACAAGAAGAGACAUUUUCUCCUACUUCAGGACUAAUAUUGGAGAUUGAAAGCCUCUCAAUUAAAAAAUAAACAUGAAAACAUACACAAAAAAGACCCCAAUUGAUAUCUACCCCUGCACUCACUUUAUCAGCAUAUACUCAUACACACACACACAUACACACACACACAGAGGAAAUGGCCUAGGUAACCUACCUCUUUACUUACAAGCUGGUGUCCAUCAAAUGAAAAUAUCCUUAAGUCCCCUUCUUUAUCUUGCACAUUUCUCAAUAUAAUCAUAUUUUCUUUAACUUGUCCUAAGCAAAUUAAAACCUACUUUCCUAAAUUAAUCCCUCUGCCUAUACCUAUGAUGACCUUCUCUAAAAUUCUAAAGGACCUUGAUCUGGGUCAUCCCCUGACUUUCAUACUUCUUUAGUCUCUCCUUUUUGUGCUUUUUCAUGUCUAUAAAAGUACUCAGAUCAUCCCAACCCUAAAAAAGUUUUGCCUUGAACCAUUGAUAUCUAUCCAACAAUUCCAUUCACCUAUUGUCCAUCUUGUUCACCUUGCAUGAUGUGUUCUUUGUCCCAUGAUCUAAAAUUCUAAAAAGGGCAACUUACAUCCAGUACCCUUACUUUCUCAACAUCCUGACCUUAAAAUUUCUGUUGCUUUUACUCUACUGAAAUUGUUCUCUCAGAGUUCAGAAGUAGCAUCUUAAUCACUAAAUCUACUAGUCUUUUUUUUCUAUUCCUCAAAUUCCUUGACUUUUCCAUUGCUGAAUUUGAUGACUUGCUUGUCACCUCAUUCUCAGUCCACUUAUGGCUUUUUUCUCCUCUUGACUUCCAGAGCAGCUUUUUUUUUUUUGGUUCUUCUGUCUCUCUGAUUACUAAUUCUCUAUCUCCUGCACUGGAUCCUAUUCCUGAUACAUUGAUUGAUGCAGGUACUCCCCAAAGUCCUUUCCUUGGUCCUUUGUUCUCUCACAUCCUUGGUUAUCUUGUUCACUCUCAGGGUUUCAGUAUUCAUCUUUAUACCAGUAACUUUCACUGCAGCCCCUACCUCUUUUUCAGUAUGCAGACCUACAUACCCAGCUCUCUGGAACAUCUUUCUUUAAAAGUCACUCUGACACAUAAAACUUAUAGUAUUGUAGCUUUAGAAGUGGAAAAGACUUUAAAGCUAUCUAGUCUAAUUUUCACAUUUUUUCAGAUAAGGAAAAUGAAAUUAAGGGAGAUCUAAAAUGUCAUAUAAGUAUUGAGUGUUUAUUUUGGU